rnacentral:rRNA from 1 species
CAAUAGCGUAUAUUAAAGUUGUUGCAGUUAAAAAGCCCGUAGUUGGAUUUCGGGGCAGCCUGGCUGGUCCGCCGCAAGGCGAGUACUGGUCAGCCGCCCUUCCUCUCGAAAGCCCCGACUGCUCUUCGUUGCAGUGGUCGGGUAGUUCGGGACGUUUACUUUGAAAAAAUUAGAGUGUUCAAGGCAGGCCUACGCCUGAAUACAUUAGCAUGGAAUAAUGGAAGAGGACCUCGGUCCUAUUUUGUUGGUUUCCAGGGCCGAAGUAAUGAUUAAGAGGGACAGUUGGGGGCAUUCGUAUUUAAUUGUCAGAGGUGAAAUUCUCGGAUUUAUGAAAGACGAACAACUGCGAAAGCAUUUGCCAAGGAUGUUUUCAUUAA